AAAGUAGAAGCAAACUCUACGAUGAUUGGAGUGGAAACCAUUUUUGUAGGAUUAGGCCUCUUCAUACUGAUCUGAGUCAGACUUUGCAUAGCUGAAGUUUUUUUCCUCUACUAUUCAAUUAACCAGUAGAGAAAAACUGACGCUUAAGAGGUUAAUGGAGCUUAAAUUUUACCAAAUUCAGACCAUAACUCUAUUUAUGUACUGGUCCUAGUGUUUCCAAGAGAAUAUAUCUCUCAGCUUAAAUUUUACUAAAAUUCAGACCAUAACUUAUUUAUGUACUGGUCCUAAUAAGAUGAAUGUUUUAAGGGUUUAUGGCUUGCUUAAGAAGAGCCAAAACUCUCUAUAA